UGGUUCUUCAACCUCUGAGAACAAAAAACUUGCAAAAUCAGAUUAGUUGCAAACUGCGUGUUCUCAUGACCUUUCUAGAGAGGACUGUGUCAAUUGGGAGGACCUUGAGGGUUUGCCAUAAUUAUGGAAAAUGAUUUAAUAUCAGCAUUUCCGUUUCUUCUCAAGAACAGAACUAACUAUUGGAGAUUAACCAGACCGCUAGAGAAUCGUUCAAUUGUGCACCCAAGUCAGAAUGACCAGGGCUUGGGAAAGAAGUCGGCCCCAGAAGUCAGCAAGACCACGUUCACAGCGUGAAGGUGGAGGUUUCAGCGGCAAAGCCCGGUCUACGCAUGCGCGAGCCCGGUCGCGCCAUUGCGCACGCUCGAGGCUUCGUGCUUCUUUUCCAAUCUGUCACGCUGCUACGCGGUACCGCUGGGUCCCCAUGGCGACCGGACGCUGUAGGAUGCUGAGGCAAAGAAGUUUUGGCCUCCACGCGCUCCGCGGGUCCUUCUCUGGCGGCAGCACGACCUGGGGCAGCUCAGGGGCGGCCGUAGGGCGCUCCGGGUUCAGAAAGAAUACUGGUGUUAAACUUACUGGAGGUUCAUCUGCUCUGAGGCAAUAUACCAGACAUGGCCAGCACAAUGGGAGAACCUCCUCUAUCUGUUUUGUGUUCCUGGACAGAAUGCCCUCAGAAAUCUUGUUGAAGAUUUUUUCCUACUUGGAUGCUGUGAGUCUGCUAUGUACUGGAUGUGUGAGCAGGCGCUUUUAUCAAUUGGCCAAUGACAAUUUUAUUUGGAUCAGAAUCUACUCAGCUGCAUUUUCAUCUAAAAGAUCGAAUUGGAAAGUUAGUUCAGUAGAGGAGACAGCUGCAUCUGUGAGCUUACUGUCAGUUGAGGAUAAAGAAGUUGGAUAUUGGAAGAAAGAAUAUAUUAAAAAACAAAUCUCAUCUGUGAAAUCUGUACUAGCCCAUAUUCUCAAACCUGUCAACCCCUAUACAGGUCUUCCUGUGAAAACCAAAGAGGCCCUCAGAAUAUCUGGCUUAGGUUGGGCAAUUAUAUUAAAAGAAAAAAGCGGAAAAGAACACAUGAUGCAGCAUGUUGACCUUUCCUUAAAUGAUGCAUCUAUCACUGUUGCAUGGUAUGGCAGAAAUUGGCCACAUUUAUCCACAUUGUCAACCUUGGAUUUGUGUGGUGUGACACCAGUUUUUAUGGACAGGUAUAAACCCCCUGUCCCAAAUGGACCUCGAUGGCUCUCUUUAAUUGCAAAGUAUGAUCUGAGUCAUUUAAGCAAGUCUACUAUGAUUGGCUGUGACAGACUUGUUCGGAUCUUCUGUCUAAAUCCUGGCCUCCUGGUGGGAUUGUGGCAGAAGGAGGACGGACUGGCUUUUGUCAUUGCAAAUCUUCAUUUCCAUCACCUUGUGGAGAGGAGUACAUUUGGCUCGGCCACUUUUCCUUAUGUGCUGCCUCCUCACUCUCCCUUUGUGGAUGACAACCCAGAAUAUGGUCUGCAAGGCUAUCAGCUCCACAUUGACAUGCAUGGCGGUGGGAUUUUCUACCUGUGUAGUACAUUUCACAAUCUUUUCUCCAGGAAAGGGUACAUUGAGAAUGGAUAUGUGAAGUUCAUGGCAAUUAAUUUAAAAAAUAACAGAGAACACCUACCUCUUAUUGGAAAAGUUGGCCUUGCUUGGAGAACUGAUAUUUUUGAUGGCUUUAUUGAGGGCAAGAUGGAAAACCACACCGGCUUCAGAAGUAGACAAGCAGCUCUGGAGGCAGAUGACAUAUGCAGUCACCUGGAUUUGUGAAGCAUUCAAGGUGACUAUGUACUCCCUAAUACAGUGGGACUCUUCACACCACAUGUAGAACGGAGCUCCUCAGGGAGAUGAACGGGUGUUGAAAGCAGAAUGCAUGCUGUUCCCAGCACCACUGCACAGGACAGGGGUCACUGCUGCAGGACAUCUGCAGAAACAGCAGGAUAAAUAUUCUGGGAAAGCAGUCCAUAAGAGUUAUGAAUCAUAAAUCAAGGUCACUAGGAACUUACCCCGAGGUAGAUCACUGUGUUCUGUCUCAUGGGUGCAGUAUACAGUAUGAGAAAUCACUCAGUAACUCGAUAACGAGAUGAGAAAUCCAUCAGAGCUGGCAGAAGUCACAGUUUCUAGAGCCCAGAAUCCAACACUUAGAAGUACAGAAGGAACUAAGGCCAUCUGAGAGUGAAGAUUGCUGCUUAUUUUCAGGCCAAACCGCUUACAGCUGUACUUCUGGCUACAGUGAGAUCUCAAGGAUCAAAACUGAACUCGAGAAAUGUCUGUAGUGUGAUCUUUAAAACAGAAAUACAUCAGGCUAAUAU